GAGGGGAUAGCUCAGUGGUAGAGUGCAUGCCUAGCAUGCACGAGGUCCCAGGUUCAAUCCCCUGUCCUUCCA
rnacentral:tRNA from 1 species